rnacentral:lncRNA from 1 species
GCGGAGCGGAAUAAAACUUAAACUUGAUCUGUAACUCAUCAUGGUUAACUCACAUACCAAAAAUCAGCCCAAUAUCUGAAAGAGUUAAGAAAAAAAGUCCAUAAAACUGUGAUUUUCAAUGACUUAUCAAAGUCCAAAGCCUGUAAUUUUGGCAAAAAUUAGUGAAGCGGAACGAUCUGUAACUCAUCAUGGUUAACUUACAGCCCAAUAUCUGAAGGCAUUUAGAAAAAAACUCUGUAUAAUGCGUUGUUGCGGAAUGAGGGAAUGACGGAAUUACGGAAUUUCGGACAAGGGUAAAACUAUAUGGCACCGACAACUUCAUUGCGGGGCCAUAAAAAGUAAUAUACAAAAGAUAAGACAUAAUCUAUGAAUAUCUAGAUUCGCUAAUCUUCAGACUCAUUCUACAAACAUGAAAGAUAUGACAAUCUGCUGUGGGCUCAAAGUAAAUUGAUAGACAGAUACUAGCCAAUUUAUAUAUUAUGUUGAUCCAUUAUGCUGAGGUAGGGUAUUCAAACAUCCAAAGAAACAAGCAAGAUAGCUUAUUACAAUGUAAUCUUUCACACAUCUAUCAUUAUUCUUUAAUUCCAAUAUAGAAUCUAAAUGGAAUUUAACAGAUAUAUCCGUAUACAUACUAAC